UACGGAGGGAGCUAGCGUUGUUCGGAAUUAUUGGGCGUAAAGAGCUCGUAGGCGGUGUGUCACGUCGGCCGUGAAAACCUGCAGCUUAACUAUGGCGUGCGGUCGAUACGGGCAUCACUGGAGUUCGGCAGGGGAGACUGGAAUUCCUGGUGUAGCGGUGAAAUGCGCAGAUAUCAGGAGGAACACCGGUGGCGAAGGCGGGUCUCUGGGCCGAUACUGACGCUGAGGAGCGAAAGCGUGGGGAGCGAACAGG
rnacentral:rRNA from 1 species